CACUUAGACAAGUUUUGUGAAAAUAAUUGCCCAGCAAGAAACGUCCUUCUUUCUUCUCCAAAUACCAUUUGCCUUUCCCAGGUCUCUGUCCCUCAUUUAAAUGAUUACCACAUGCUCUGUUACAGCCACAGAAAGAAAAUGCCCUGGUGUACUUGAUUUGUCUGUCUCCAAUGGAAGACUCUCCAGUCAAAUCCAAGAAGAGGUAACUUGGUUAGAGCUUAGAAAAAAGAAAGUUAAGAAAGUGAAAAUCAUACCAGUGUGUUUGGGUUCGGAAUGGAAACUUCUAAGAGACAGUGGACAUGAAUUUUUAAAGUGGAGUGAGAUUUUCCCCACUUUUACACGAGCUGCUGGCUUCUAAC
rnacentral:lncRNA from 1 species